GACGAACGCUGGCGGCGUGCUUAACACAUGCAAGUCGUACGGUAAGGCCCUUUCGGGGGUACACGAGUGGCGAACGGGUGAGUAACACGUGAGUAACCUGCCCACAACUUUGGGAUAACGCUAGGAAACUGGUGCUAAUACUGGAUAUGUGCUCCUGCUGCAUGGUGGGGGUUGGAAAGCUCCGGCGGUUGUGGAUGGACUCGCGGCCUAUCAGCUUGUUGGUGGGGUAGUGGCCUACCAAGGCGGCGACGGGUAGCCGGCCUGAGAGGGUGACCGGCCACAUUGGGACUGAGAUACGGCCCAGACUCCUACGGGAGGCAGCAGUGGGGAAUAUUGCACAAUGGGCGCAAGCCUGAUGCAGCAACGCCGCGUGCGGGAUGGCGGCCUUCGGGUUGUAAACCGCUUUCAGCAGGGACGAAGCUUUUUGUGACGGUACCUGCAGAAGAAGCACCGGCUAACUACGUG
rnacentral:rRNA from 1 species